rnacentral:rRNA from 1 species
GCGGCGGACGGGUUAGUAACGCGUGGGAACAUACCCUUUUCUACGGAAUAGCCUCGGGAAACUGAGAGUAAUACCGUAUACGCCCUUCGGGGGAAAGAUUUAUCGGAGAAGGAUUGGCCCGCGUUUGAUUAGAUAGUUGGUGGGGUAAUGGCCUACCAAGUCUACGAUCAAUAGCUGGUUUGAGAGGAUGAUCAGCAACACUGGGACUGAGACACGGCCCAGACUCCUACGGGAGGCAGCAGUGGGGAAUCUUAGACAAUGGGCGCAAGCCUGAUCUAGCCAUGCCGCGUGAGUGACGAAGGCCUUAGGGUCGUAAAGCUCUUUCGCCAGAGAUGAUAAUGACAGUAUCUGGUAAAGAAACCCCGGCUAACUCCGUGCCAGCAGCCGCGGUAAUACGGAGGGGGUUAGCGUUGUUCGGAAUUACUGGGCGUAAAGCGUACGUAGGCGGAUUAGAAAGUAGGGGGUGAAAUCCCAGGGCUCAACCCUGGAACUGCCUCCUAAACUACUAGUCUAGAGUUCGAGAGAGGUGAGUGGAAUUCCAAGUGUAGAGGUGAAAU